rnacentral:rRNA from 1 species
UACAGAGGGGGGCAAGCGUUAAUCGGAAUUACUGGGCGUAAAGCGCGCGUAGGCGGCUUUGCAAGUCGGGUGUGAAAUCCCCAGGCUUAACCUGGGAACUGCAUUCGAGACUGCAUUGCUAGAGUAUGGGAGAGGGAAGUGGAAUUUCCGGUGUAGCGGUGAAAUGCGUAGAUAUCGGAAGGAACAUCAGUGGCGAAAGCGACUUCCUGGACCAAUACUGACGCUCAUGUGCGAAAGCGUGGGGGAGCAAACAGG